rnacentral:misc_RNA from 1 species
GAAGAUUCACGCUCAUGAUUCGUCUUCUUCCGAUUCGGAUGAUGACAAGGGUGACACUUCUGCUUCUAUCAAAUCUAAGAUUUAUCGCCUCUUCGGUAGGGAAAGGCCCGUCCACAAGGUUUUCGGCGGGGGAAAACCGGCUGAUAUCUUCCUGUGGAGAGACAAAAAGGUAUCCGGUGGAGUUCUAGGAGGAGCAACAGUUGCAUGGAUUUUGUUUGAGUUGCUUGAAUAUCACUUUCUGACUUUGAUUUGCCACAUUUUUAUGGCUGCUCUAGCAGUGGUGUUUUUGUGGUCAAAUGCUUCCUUCUUCAUUAACAAGUCUCUGCCGCAUAUCCCUCAAGUUCACAUUCCAGAGGAGCCAGUUAAAGAGAUUGCCACUGCGUUGAGAGUUGAGAUCAAUAGGGCCAUUGCAAUCUUGAGAGAAAUUGCUUCAGGAAGGGAUCUGAAGAGCUUUCUUUACGCUAUUGCUGGUUUGUGGGUUCUGUCCAUUGUGGGAAGCUGGUUCAACUUCCUAACCUUACUAUAUAUUGGAGUUAUUUUGCUCUUCACCGUACCCGUGUUCUACGAGAAAUACGAUGACAAGGUGGACGCCUUUGCAGAGAAGGCGAUGGCCGAAAUCAAGAAACAGUAUGUAGUAUUUGAUGCAAAGGUGCUUUCUAAAAUCCCAAGAGGACCACUGAAGGACAAAAAGAUUGCUUGAGAGAUGCCCGACUCUUG